UUACCUCAGUAACGGCGAGUGAAGCGGUAACAGCUCAAAUUUGAAAGCUGGCUCUUUCAGGGUCCGCGUUGUAAUUUGUAGAAGAUGCUUCGGGUGUGGCCCCGGUCUAAGUUCCUUGGAACAGGACGUCAUAGAGGGUGAGAAUCCCGUAUGUGACUGGGUGCUUUCGCUCAUGUGAAGCUCUUUCGACGAGUCGAGUUGUUUGGGAAUGCAGCUCAAAACGGGUGGUAAAUUUCAUCUAAAGCUAAAUAUUGGCCAGAGACCGAUAGCGCACAAGUAGAGUGAUCGAAAGAUGAAAAGCACUUUGGAAAGAGAGUUAAACAGUACGUGAAAUUGUUGAAAGGGAAGCGCUUGCAACCAGACUUGCGCGCUGACGAUCAUCCGGGCUUCUGCCCGGUGCACUCGUCUGCGCUCAGGCCAGCAUCGGUUUCGGUGGUGGGAUAAAGGCCUUGGGAAUGUAGCUCCUCUCGGGGAGUGUUAUAGCCCUCGGUGCAAUGCCGCCUACCGGGACCGAGGACCGCGCUUCGGCUAGGAUGCUGGCGUAAUGGUUGUAAGCGACCCGUCUUGAAACACGGACCAAGGAGUCUAACAUCUAUGCGAGUGUUUGGGUGUCAAACCCAUACGCGUAAUGAAAGUGAACGGAGGUGAGAACCCUUAAGGGUGCAUCAUCGACCGAUCCUGAUGUCUUCGGAUGGAUUUGAGUAAGAGCAUAGCUGUUGGGACCCGAAAGAUGGUGAACUAUGCGUGAAUAGGGUGAAGCCAGAGGAAACUCUGGUGGAGGCUCGCAGCGGUUCUGACGUGCAAAUCGAUCGUCAAAUUUGCGUAUAGGGGCGAAAGACUAAUCGAACCAUCUAGUAGCUGGUUCCUGCCGAAGU
rnacentral:rRNA from 1 species